AUCAAGAUGGAGCAGGGUAUAGAGAAGCCAUUAGGGAUGAUACAGAACACCACCAAAGGGUUAGUAACGGUGGGGAACUGUUUGCACCCCGAAGCCUGAAAGAGUGAAGUAGGGUGGGAUUACCUGGAAAGAGAGAGAGAGACAGAAGGAGAAUGAGAUUGAGGGAAGGGCUGCCUGGCAGGGGAAGCUGACGCCUUCAGGCAAGUGAAGAAGCCAGCCCGCAGCAACUCUGCAGGGAAGAAUAUAGGGAAAUAAACGCCUUCAUCUCUCUCUUGUCCCACCCGCAGAGCUCCUUCUGGGAUUCUCUAUUGGCUGAACUCAGCCAGAAGCUGCCAAGGGAGACCCCCACAACUGGAUGCAGCCCACUGAAGUCAGCUUCCUGGGGUGCGUAGCUGAAGGUAGCAGGGAGCAAAAAGAAUCUGAAGGGGAAGUGAACAAUGUAGAGCGUAUCUGUGCUGAAGACGUAAGGAGAGAGUGGAGGUCAGAAGCUGGCAUGGUCCCUGGUGCAUGUAUCAGCCGCUAAAGCUGGAGUGGAUGAAUCAGAACUUUCCCCAUGGGAGCAUUUAUAAAAAGGGGACACCCAGCGCAGAAGAUGUUUUCCAGGGAGAUCUCGGGGAGCCCAACAAGCCAAGAAGAGCAGAGCAAAGCAUUCCAAGGAAGGACUCUAAGUCUGCAACCGAGCACACACGAGAAGCAAGACUGACCUCCUUGGAACAGACUUUCUGGACAAUUUGCUGGCAGAGGAAGAGACCACAAGAGGAAAAAAGUGGACUUCCUGGUAAUUUAGGGGUUUGAUUAACAAAUUUGAAUAUUUAAAAGAGAUGUUAUUUUCACUAAAGAAGAUAGCUAAAUGGUAAAUAAGCCUAUUCAACAUUAUUAGUCAUCAAAGAAAUUCAAGUUAAAACUACAAUGACAUAUCACCACACACCCUUGAAAAUGGCUAAAAUAAGGACUGAUAUUAUCAAGUGUUGGGGAAGAUGUGGAGCAACUAGAACUCUCAUACUCAAUUUGGGAGUGCAAAUUGGUUCAAUCUCUUUGGAAAACUGUUUAGCAGUAGCUACAAAAGCUGAAAGCAUAGACUGUGACCCAGUAAUUUCAUUUCUGGAUAUUACUACACAUAUAUACACAGGAAUGUUUAUAUAUUUCCACCAAAGUGCCUACGCAAGAAUAUUCAUAGCAGCACUAUCUGUAAUAGCCUAAAACUAGAAACUACCUAAAUGUCCAUCAACAGGUUAAAAAAAGAUAAAUUGUGGUAUGUUUCUAUAAUGCAUUGUUACUCAGAAAGAAGAAGGAUGAGGAGAAUGUAACAACAUGAAAGAAACUCACUGCCCUAAUAUUGAGCACAAGAAACCAGAAAUACAUACAGAAAAGUAUACCAUACUCAUUGUUCUAUUUAUAUGAAAUUCAAGAACUGGCUAAACUAAUCUAUGAUGACAGAAGUCAGAAUAUGAUUACUUUUGGAAGGAGGAGCAUUAACCAAAAUGGGACAUAAAGGAGGCUGUUGAGAUACCUGAAAUAUUCUUGUCAUAAUCUGGGUAGUGUUGUAUGGGUAUUGCCAUGUAUUAAAUUGUGUCUCCCCACACCUUCAAAUUCAUACUUUGAAGCCCUAUUCCCCAAUAUGGUUAUGUUUAAAACUAGGGCUUUUAGAAGGGAAUUAAGGUUAAAUGAGACCAUCGGUUCCCUGAUCCCAUAAGAUUAGCAUCCUUAUAAAAGAAACAGCAGAGUUUGUGCGCUCACUCUGUCUUUCACUCUCUGUUUCUCUGUCUGUCUCCCCCUCUCUCCCUCUCUUCCUCCUGCUCUCUGCAUGCAUAGCACAAGGAAAGACCAUGUGAAUACACAGCAAGAACGUGGUGCUCUGCAAGUCAGAAACAGACCCGUCAUCAGACACCAAAUCAGCCAGCACCUUGAUCUAGGAUUUCUGGCCUCCAAAACAGUGAGAAAAUAAAAUUCUGUUGUUUAAGCCAUGCAGCCUG
rnacentral:lncRNA from 1 species